rnacentral:rRNA from 1 species
AGAGUUUGAUCCUGGCUCAGAUUGAACGCUGGCGGCAUGCCUAACACAUGCAAGUCGAACGGAGGUAGGGGCAACUCUACUUCAGUGGCGGACGGGUGAGGAAUGCGUCGGAAUCUACCCUAUGGUGGGGGAUAACACAGGGAAACUUGUGCUAAUACCGCAUGAUGUCGAGAGACCAAAGCAGGGGACCGCAAGGCCUUGCGCGAUAGGAUGAGCCGACGCCCGAUUAGCUUGUUGGUAGGGUAAUGGCCUACCAAGGCGACGAUCGGUAGCUGGUCUGAGAGGAUGAUCAGCCACACUGGGACUGAGACACGGCCCAGACUCCUACGGGAGGCAGCAGUGGGGAAUAUUGGACAAUGGGCGCAAGCCUGAUCCAGCAAUGCCGCGUGUGUGAAGAAGGCCUGCGGGUUGUAAAGCACUUUUGUUCGGGAAGAAAUCAUGCUGGUUAAUACCUGGUAUGGAUGACGGUACCGAAAGAAUAAGCACCGGCUAACUUCGUGCCAGCAGCCGCGGUAAUACGAAGGGUGCAAGCGUUAAUCGGAAUUACUGGGCGUAAAGGGUGCGUAGGCGGCCUUUUAAGUCGGAUGUGAAAUCCCCGGGCUCAACCCUGGGAAUGGCAUCCCGAUACUGGGGGGCUAGAGUUUGGGAGAGGGUGGUGGAAUUCCCCGGUGUAGCGGUGAAAUGCGUAGAGAUCGGGAGGAACAUCAGUGGCGAAGGCGGCCACCUGGCCUAAAACUGACGCUGAAGCACGAAAGCGUGGGGAGCAAACAGGAUUAGAUACCCUGGUAGUCCACGCCCUA